rnacentral:tRNA from 1 species
GCCUGGGUGGCUCAGUCGGUUGAGCGUCUGAUUUCAGCUCAGGUCAUGAUCUCCCCAUUUGUGAGUUCAAGCCUUGUGUCAGGCU